rfam:Bacillus alcalophilus ATCC 27647 = CGMCC 1.3604 strain AV1934 contig00056, whole genome shotgun sequence.
CUCUUAUCGCGAGUGGUGGAGGGACUGGCCUGAUGAAACCCAGCAACCGUUUUCUUAGGAAAAUUGGUGCUAAUUCCUGCGAAUCGAUUUUAUGAUUCGAGAGAUAAGAG